AAAUGGACUCUCAGCAACGGAUAUCUUGGCUCUUGCAAC
rnacentral:rRNA from 2 species